GUCAUACUGCUCGUUGGAUUUCUUGCUAAACAAUUCAAAGGUUAUGAUCCAAGCUUUUCAAAAGAACAAUUCAAUUAUUUAUUCCAACAAAUUUGAUAACACAUAUUCUACAUCAAUUGUAGGUCAACCAUACCUAAGCGGUACUACAACAAGUUUAUGGUACUUCAAUCCUGGAAUUCCUGAGGCGCAGACCUACUACAACACGUAAAACAAAAUAAAAAUUUGGAUACAAUUACUUCAAACACUCACUAUUUUUUAUACCACAUUUUGAAUCUGCUCCUCUCUAAUCUUAUGCCCACAGUUAGCUAACAGUUUAAUAAACUAUAGUCUACUAAGCUAGCAGUAGCAAUAUUUAAACUGAAAUUGUAGAUAAACCUUAUUUUUUUACCAUUACCUCUUUAUAUAUUACAUUCAGACCAGUUUGGUAUCCCUCUUCAGAGAAUAUUCAAUACUUAUAUUUAUUUUUUUACCUAAAACUAAUAGCCACCGUUUCAUUUCGUUUUCUCUAUAAAAAAUCACUGACAGAUGUUACUGCAAAAGAAAAAUCGCCGCUGCCUAGAAUCAGUGUCUACAAAAACAAUUCAUUUUUUAAAUGGUGUUAUAAUUGCUUGUAUUUCUUAGGCACUAUUUCAAUUUUUUAAAAUGAUGAUACAUGCUAUCCUCUUUUUCCUAAAGCGGGUUACAGGACAUCCUAUUGUCUUCAAUUUUUUUUAAAAAAUAAAAGUAUUGUUCAUACUACUCAUGCACAACUUCAAUACAAAACAAAUUAAGGUAC
rnacentral:lncRNA from 7 species